rnacentral:rRNA from 1 species
UACGGAGGGUGCGAACGUUAAUCGGAAUUACUGGGCGUAAAGCGCGCGUAGGCGGUUCGGUAAGUGGGAUGUGAAAGCCCCGGGCUUAACCUGGGAACUGCAUUCCAAACUGCCGAGCUAGAGUAUGGUAGAGGGAGGUAGAAUUUCCUGUGUAGCGGUGAAAUGCGUAGAUAUAGGAAGGAAUACCAGUGGCGAAGGCGGCCUCCUGGAUCAAUACUGACGCUGAGGUGCGAAAGCGUGGGGAGAAAACAGG